rnacentral:rRNA from 1 species
GGGUUGUGAGGUUAAGCGACUAAGCGUACACGGUGGAUGCCCUGGCAGUCAGAGGCGAUGAAGGACGUGCUAAUCUGCGAUAAGCGUCGGUAAGGUGAUAUGAACCGUUAUAACCGGCGAUUUCCGAAUGGGGAAACCCAGUGUGUUUCGACACACUAUCAUUAACUGAAUCCAUAGGUUAAUGAGGCGAACCGGGGGAACUGAAACAUCUAAGUACCCCGAGGAAAAGAAAUCAACCGAGAUUCCCCCAGUAGCGGCGAGCGAACGGGGAGCAGCCCAGAGCCUGAAUCAGUGUGUGUGUUAGUGGAAGCGUCUGGAAAGGCGCGCGAUACAGGGUGACAGCCCCGUACACAAAAAUGCACAUACUGUGAGCUCGAUGAGUAGGGCGGGACACGUGGUAUCCUGUCUGAAUAUGGGGGGACCAUCCUCCAAGGCUAAAUACUCCUGACUGACCGAUAGUGAACCAGUACCGUGAGGGAAAGGCGAAAAGAACCCCGGCGAGGGGAGUGAAAAAGAACCUGAAACCGUGUACGUACAAGCAGUGGGAGCACGCUUAGGCGUGUGACUGCGUACCUUUUGUAUAAUGGGUCAGCGACUUAUAUUCUGUAGCAAGGUUAACCGAAUAGGGGAGCCGAAGGGAAACCGAGUCUUAACUGGGCGUUAAGUUGCAGGGUAUAGACCCGAAACCCGGUGAUCUAGCCAUGGGCAGGUUGAAGGUUGGGUAACACUAACUGGAGGACCGAACCGACUAAUGUUGAAAAAUUAGCGGAUGACUUGUGGCUGGGGGUGAAAGGCCAAUCAAACCGGGAGAUAGCUGGUUCUCCCCGAAAGCUAUUUAGGUAGCGCCUCGUGAAUUCAUCUCCGGGGGUAGAGCACUGUUUCGGCAAGGGGGUCAUCCCGACUUACCAACCCGAUGCAAACUGCGAAUACCGGAGAAUGUUAUCACGGGAGACACACGGCGGGUGCUAACGUCCGUCGUGAAGAGGGAAACAACCCAGACCGCCAGCUAAGGUCCCAAAGUCAUGGUUAAGUGGGAAACGAUGUGGGAAGGCCCAGACAGCCAGGAUGUUGGCUUAGAAGCAGCCAUCAUUUAAAGAAAGCGUAAUAGCUCACUGGUCGAGUCGGCCUGCGCGGAAGAUGUAACGGGGCUAAACCAUGCACCGAAGCUGCGGCAGCGACACUAUGUGUUGUUGGGUAGGGGAGCGUUCUGUAAGCCUGCGAAGGUGUGCUGUGAGGCAUGCUGGAGGUAUCAGAAGUGCGAAUGCUGACAUAAGUAACGAUAAAGCGGGUGAAAAGCCCGCUCGCCGGAAGACCAAGGGUUCCUGUCCAACGUUAAUCGGGGCAGGGUGAGUCGACCCCUAAGGCGAGGCCGAAAGGCGUAGUCGAUGGGAAACAGGUUAAUAUUCCUGUACUUGGUGUUACUGCGAAGGGGGGACGGAGAAGGCUAUGUUGGCCGGGCGACGGUUGUCCCGGUUUAAGCGUGUAGGCUGGUUUUCCAGGCAAAUCCGGAAAAUCAAGGCUGAGGCGUGAUGACGAGGCACUACGGUGCUGAAGCAACAAAUGCCCUGCUUCCAGGAAAAGCCUCUAAGCAUCAGGUAACAUCAAAUCGUACCCCAAACCGACACAGGUGGUCAGGUAGAGAAUACCAAGGCGCUUGAGAGAACUCGGGUGAAGGAACUAGGCAAAAUGGUGCCGUAACUUCGGGAGAAGGCACGCUGAUAUGUAGGUGAAGUCCCUCGCGGAUGGAGCUGAAAUCAGUCGAAGAUACCAGCUGGCUGCAACUGUUUAUUAAAAACACAGCACUGUGCAAACACGAAAGUGGACGUAUACGGUGUGACGCCUGCCCGGUGCCGGAAGGUUAAUUGAUGGGGUCAGCGCAAGCGAAGCUCUUGAUCGAAGCCCCGGUAAACGGCGGCCGUAACUAUAACGGUCCUAAGGUAGCGAAAUUCCUUGUCGGGUAAGUUCCGACCUGCACGAAUGGCGUAAUGAUGGCCAGGCUGUCUCCACCCGAGACUCAGUGAAAUUGAACUCGCUGUGAAGAUGCAGUGUACCCGCGGCAAGACGGAAAGACCCCGUGAACCUUUACUAUAGCUUGACACUGAACAUUGAGCCUUGAUGUGUAGGAUAGGUGGGAGGCUUUGAAGUGUGGACGCCAGUCUGCAUGGAGCCGACCUUGAAAUACCACCCUUUAAUGUUUGAUGUUCUAACGUUGACCCGUGAUCCGGGUUGCGGACAGUGUCUGGUGGGUAGUUUGACUGGGGCGGUCUCCUCCUAAAGAGUAACGGAGGAGCACGAAGGUUGGCUAAUCCUGGUCGGACAUCAGGAGGUUAGUGCAAUGGCAUAAGCCAGCUUGACUGCGAGCGUGACGGCGCGAGCAGGUGCGAAAGCAGGUCAUAGUGAUCCGGUGGUUCUGAAUGGAAGGGCCAUCGCUCAACGGAUAAAAGGUACUCCGGGGAUAACAGGCUGAUACCGCCCAAGAGUUCAUAUCGACGGCGGUGUUUGGCACCUCGAUGUCGGCUCAUCACAUCCUGGGGCUGAAGUAGGUCCCAAGGGUAUGGCUGUUCGCCAUUUAAAGUGGUACGCGAGCUGGGUUUAGAACGUCGUGAGACAGUUCGGUCCCUAUCUGCCGUGGGCGCUGGAGAACUGAGGGGGGCUGCUCCUAGUACGAGAGGACCGGAGUGGACGCAUCACUGGUGUUCGGGUUGUCAUGCCAAUGGCACUGCCCGGUAGCUAAAUGCGGAAGAGAUAAGUGCUGAAAGCAUCUAAGCACGAAACUUGCCCCGAGAUGAGUUCUCCCUGACUCCUUGAGAGUCCUGAAGGAACGUUGAAGACGACGACGUUGAUAGGCCGGGUGUGUAAGCGCAGCGAUGCGUUGAGCUAACCGGUACUAAUGAACCGUGAGGCUUAACCUUACAACGCCGAAG